UUGACAGAUUAUUGUAUUUGACUGUAUUCACGACGUGAAAUAGGGGAUUACACUAUUUUUAAAACGGAAAGUGAAUCAAUUAACAUAAUAGACUCCU
rnacentral:pre_miRNA from 1 species